UUUUCCUCCUCCCCAGGAAGGUCUUCCCGGCUGCCUGACCCAGGGCUGCUGCAGCUCCAGCCCUGUGGGGAAGCCUCGCAGUCCUGGCAGCCUCUGGAAGUUGAACAUUCCUGAGAAAUGCUCUGGAUGUUCAUGAAAUACCUCCAGCCCUCCCAUCGAGUAGACAUCAUCCUCAUGGCUAUCAAGAACAUGAAAGGCCCAGGGCAGUACAGCAGGAGCUGUCUACCUACAUGGUAGACAUCCUUGUGAGCCAACCUGUCUUCCAUACACAGCAUGGAUGACUUCCCCUCCACCAAGCAGCCCAUGCCCAUGCCAGCAGCUAUGGGAGCAGAGGCAGAAACCAAGACCUUGCUCCUCCCUUAGUAGCUUUCACUCCACCUGGCUCAACCUGGACUUGCUAAAAGCCAUUCAACCUGCCAGGCUUUGGCAGGAUGGAUUUUACCAUCCACCAGAGUCAGUCUCCUGCAGCAUCCUCUCCUUUCUUGACCUGCCUUCUUCCAUGGCACACAAGCCAACACAGCUCCAACACCAGCACAGCACAACCCCACAGCACCGUGUCUGCUGGGGAUGCAACCACCACGCGCUGCCUUGGACCAUCUCCUGAGGCCCCAGAGAGGUGGACACAAGUCCAGGGCCCAGAUUAAGGACAUCCAGGAGCAGUGCUUACUUCUUUACUGUACCCCUCACAUCCUCAUCAGUACUGAGGGGCUGUUUUUCACAGCUUCAGCCACUGAUUGCAUUCUCCAGCACUAACAGUGCAGUGAAGAAGAGGCCUUUGAAGACUGCUGUAGCUGGAAGGGAACCUAGCAAUUAUUUUUAAAACCUUGAAAAC